UACAGAGGGUGCGAGCGUUAAUCGGAAUUACUGGGCGUAAAGCGUGCGCAGGCGGUAAGUUAAGUCUGAUGUGAAAGCCCCGGGCUCAACCUGGGAAUGGCAUUGGAAACUGGCUUGCUAGAGUGUGGCAGAGGGGGGUGGAAUUCCGCGUGUAGCAGUGAAAUGCGUAGAGAUGCGGAGGAACACCGAUGGCGAAGGCAGCCCCCUGGGCCGACACUGACGCUCAGGCACGAAAGCGUGGGGAGCAAACAGG
rnacentral:rRNA from 1 species